rnacentral:rRNA from 1 species
CCUACGGGAGGCAGCAGUGAGGAAUAUUGGUCAAUGGCGGUAACUCUGAACCAGCCAAGUAGCGUGCAGGAUGACUGCCCUAUGGGUUGUAAACCUCUUUUAUGCGGGGAUAAACUUGUCCACGUGUGGCUUUUUGCAGGUACCGCAUGAAUAAGGACCGGCUAAUUCCGUGCCAGCAGCCGCGGUAAUACGGCAGGUCCGGGCGUUAUCCGGAUUUAUUGGGUUUAAAGGGAGCGAAGGCCGCUCCUUAAGCGUGUCGUGAAAUGCUGGGGCUCAACCGUGGGAGUGCGGCGCGAACUGGGGGCCUUGAGUGCGCGGAAGGCAGGCGGAAUUCGUGGUGUAGCGGUGAAAUGCUUAGAUAUCACGAAGAACCCCGAUUGCGAAGGCAGCCUGCCGUAGCGUUACUGACGCUGAGGCUCGAAGGUGCGGGUAUCGAACAGGAUUAGAUACCCCUGUAGUC